UAUUUAGUUUGUUCUAAUGGAUUACCUAUAUAACUAUAUCUCAUAGUUUAUCGAUACUGAUCAUUGCUUGAUUUAAAACUUAUCAAAUUAAAGUAGCUGCAAAGAUACUGAUCUGCUUUGUUGAAUUUGAUUCAAAUUCUAUCUUUAGGUUGUACACGGCAGCUUUAGGAUCUCCUUUCUAUUUUGCUUCUUGUACACAACAGCUUUAUAUGAUGUACACAGCAGAUUUAUAUAUUUGCUUCAAUCUUUUCACUCAUUUGCUUCCAAUUUUUGCCCCUGCUUAUAUAUAUUCCUGCAUCCGCCACUGGCUACACAAUGAGAUCAUGUAGCUUGAUCAUUCCACUUUUAUGAGAACCUGAGGCAUAUAUGAGAGCUUUGUAUAUUUUGAACAAAAAGAAAGGAAAUGAUGAACAAGAGGUCUGUAUAGUAUUCAAUUCAGAACGAGAACCUACUUCAAAAUGAGAGUGCUAGUCAGCUAUUUAUACAAGAGUGUCAAGUAGAUGGCAAAAUACACUUUUAACCUUAACAAUAUAUGCAUUGCGUGAUUGAGUAGUUGUUCGAUCACAUACAUUUGUUUAACCUGGCUAUGAUCGAGAAACCAUGAAAAAAGUAUGUGGAGAUUUUUGCCAUUUGAAGAGAUGGAGAAUGGAUCAAUGACAACUUAUAAUGGGCAUGUUGGAUCUUGCUCUCGAUCAUGUGUUUAUGAUUAA
rnacentral:lncRNA from 1 species